CCUAGGGAGAGUACAAGAACUUGUGAGUAGUAUUUGAAGAAUUUCAUUAUGAAAGCAUACUCGAUGAAAUAGGAA
ncrna:unclassified sequences RAGATH-18 RNA